UUUUUUUUUUUUUUUUUUUUUUUUGAGACAGAGUCUUGCUUUGUCACCCACGCUGGAAUGCAGUGGCAUGAUCUCAGCUCACUGCAACCUCCCUGCCUCCCAGGUUGAAGAGAUUCUCGUGCCUCAGCCACUGGAGUAGCUGAGAUUAUAGACGCUCAAGACCAGGAAUGGCUAAUUUUUGUAUUUUUAGGAGAGAUGGGAUUUCACCAAGUUGCCCAAGCUGGUCUCAAACUCCUGGCCUCAAGUGAUCCACCUACCUCGGUCUCCCAAAGAGCUGAAAGUAUAAGCAUGAGCCACCAAGCCCGGCCAUCUUCUGCAUUUUUCAGUCUUACUCUAUUCUUCAUGAUGUUUUGGGCUGAGCUAAAUUUGAACCCAGGCUUAUACAGCCCCAACUCUAUUUCUUUCUUCUUUAUUACACAGCCUUGCAGAAGACAACGGUGAAGAUUAUACAUGUAAUGAUUUAAGAGUCAUCUAGGAAGAAGAUAACAUCACUAAAACUUGCCUAAGAAAGCUACUUACAAAUCAUGUACAUUUACUUCCACACAGCCCUUUACAAAUAAUGCACACUUACUUCUACAUAGCCCUUUUCCAGUGUGGAUGCUCUG
rnacentral:lncRNA from 10 species